rnacentral:lncRNA from 1 species
GCCUGUGCUCUUUUUUAAUCUUUAUUCUGCCUAUGCUUUUUUUUAUCUUUAUUCUGCCUAUGCAGCACUUUCACAGUCGGUAAUUUGUUUAACUUAAUGUAUAUAUGGAAGUGUUUAACGACCUCGACUGGCUAUUUUAACUUAAAUGAGAUUUAUAAAAUAUAUAUAAGUUUCUCACAGAACCAAAGACGGUAACCAAAGAUUUUGCGACGAUACAAAUAUUAAACUUUACAAUAUAAAUAAAUAUCU